CCUUAUUAACCUGCGGGACAAAUAUGUCAGUCAGAGCAGUAACAUCACAAGUGUGGAUAGUUUCGCAAACUGGGCAGUUGACGGUGACAUUGACACGAUUUCACAUACAUUUUGCACUGGAAACCAAUGGUGGAGGGUUGAUCUGGGGACUACCUAUCGCUUGCAGCGGAUCACCAUAGUUAAUAGAAAGGGAGGACAUGGUCGCCGAUUACAAGGUGCUAUUGUACGAGCUGGAUUGGACGCAGAUCACUCACAGAACGCACCAAUCGGAUCACCAGUCACCUAUGGUCAAGCCUACCCUGGCGGACAGACUCUAGAUUUCGUACCGGACCCUGUAGUCUCUGCUCGGUACGUGAGCGUGGACUUAUACAAUAACUGCUUGUCUCUGGCGGAAUUUAGGCUGGAAGAAGAGGUCA